rnacentral:antisense_RNA from 1 species
CUUCAGCGACCCCAGCCACAGCGGACUGCCCGGAUCCCUCUCCUGCCCGUAGGUGGCCAGCAGGGCGCCUGCCUC